UACGGAGGGUGCGAGCGUUGUCCGGAAUCACUGGGCGUAAAGGGCGUGUAGGCGGUCCGGUAAGUCCGCUGUGAAAGUCGGGGGCUCAACCCUCGGAUGCCGGUGGAUACUGUCGGGCUUGAGUACGGAAGAGGCGAGUGGAAUUCCUGGUGUAGCGGUGAAAUGCGCAGAUAUCAGGAGGAACACCAAUUGCGAAGGCAGCUCGCUGGGACGUUACUGACGCUGAGACGCGAAAGCGUGGGGAGCAAACAGG
rnacentral:rRNA from 1 species